rnacentral:rRNA from 1 species
UACGUAGGGUGCGAGCGUUUGUCCGGAAUUACUGGGCGUAAAGAGCUCGUAGGUGGUUUUGUCGCGUUGUUCGUGAAAUCUCACGGCUUAACUGUGAGCGUGCGAGCGAUACGGGCAGACUGGAGUACUGCAGGGGGAGACUGGAAUUCCUGGUGUAGCGGUGGAAUGCGCAGAUAUCAGGAGGAACACCGGUGGCGAAGGCGGGUCUCUGGGCAGUAACUGCGCUGGAGGAGCGAAAGCAUGGGGAGCGAACAGG